ACCUGUCUGACUCUGUCUCCUGAGCACUGGGAUUAAAGAUUGUCCUUAUGGGUUAUAUGGAAUAUCUAUAAGAAUCAAAGAGGCAGGUAAGGAAGACUGUUUUCCAUAUGUUUUUGGAGAGGGACAAGAGAAAGGAAUUGCUGGAGGAAAACUGAAGACUUGGGCAUUUAAUCCUGUCUCCUCCUCUUAUACAACAUCCUGGAGCUUUGGAGUCAGCUGUGGCUGAGCACUGCACAGACAUUUGUUCUCUGCAUCUUGACAAGUUGUAAGUCUCUGCAGUAACUGCUGCACACUGUCAAAAGGAGCUUCUCUGACAGGGAUUGAAAGCUGGUUUCGCCUAUGGGCAUAGAGCCAGCACGUGAUGAGACGCUUCUCCUACUCUCUGUCAUCUCCCAAGGAGAUAUUCUUGAAGCACAAUUCAAAUCCAGUGCAGCCACUGUGGUAAUCCAUCAAAUCUAAGACAAAACGCAAAAUGAACAUAAAUGAAUCUUUAUAAAUGAACAUCUAUGUGAGUCAAGAUAGUAGUAUUGUGUUGAAGCACACCCAUUCUGAGGCUUUUCAGAGUUCUAACCCAGGACAUGCAUAUAAGUUAGCUUAUCUGGACAAAAGAACUUUGUAGAUAUAAUAGGGGAUCAAGAAAUGAGAUCACUAUGAGCUAUGUGGCUCUAAAUCUAACUACAAGUACCUUCUCAAUUACAGGAAAAACAAAAGAUAAAAUAAGGGGAGGAAGUUAAUGAGAAUGGAGGUAAAGAUGGAGUUUCGUCCUGAUCAACCUGCCAUUAAUUGAUAAUAUUGAAAGUCUGACAUGCAUGCUGGUGCUUUGGUGCCAUCUCUGGAGCAAGGAGCCAAAGGAAGGGCUGGUCAUAGCUUUCUGUCCCUCUCUGCUAUCCUUACUGCUGCGUUCUAGCCCUGCUUUGUCAGCAUCUCCGUAUUCCCCGGCUCCUGUGCAGGAAUAUUGUUCUAAACUUCUGAUUUCCCCAGUGAUCGAGUUGGGGAAAAGCAUUAGAGUCAACUGAUUUACGUGAAAUUUGCAGUGGGGAAGGGAAAGCAAUGAGAAAAUUAUGAAUGAGAGCUCAUGAAAGGUUUCAAGUUGCUGUUGUAGGAUGUUGUGCUAUGUGCUUCACUUCUCCACCUCAGAAGGCACCCUCCUGUUUACCAUCGGCUUCCAGUGGACGUGUAGUGUAUAUCCUUAGUUGCCCUCUGCAUAAACUCGCAAAAGCAACCCAGAAUCGGAACCGGAAAGUCCUGCUGUGCUUGAACUGAACGCUUGUGGGUACAUUCACGGGUUAUUUCCAACACAAUGUCUCCGCCUGCAGGAAAAAAGCAGCAAGUAC